UACGGGGGGAGCAAGCGUUGUUCGGAUUUACUGGGCGUAAAGGGCGCGUAGGCGGUCAGCACAAGUCAGUUGUGAAAUCUCCGGGCUUAACUCGGAAAGGUCAACUGAUACUGUGCGACUAGAGUGCGGAAGGGGCAACUGGAAUUCUCGGUGUAGCGGUGAAAUGCGUAGAUAUCGACCGGAACUCCGGUGGCGAAGGCGAGGUGCUGGACCCUUUCUGACGCUGAGGCGCGAAAGCCAGGGGAGCAAACGGG
rnacentral:rRNA from 1 species